UGAGGAAUAUUGGUCAAUGGGCGCAAGCCUGAACCAGCCAUCCCGCGUGCAGGAAGACGGCCCUAUGGGUUGUAAACUGCUUUUCCAGGGGGAGAAACUUGCGCACGUGUUGCGCAAUUGACGGUACCCUGGGAAUAAGCAUCGGCUAACUCCGUGCCAGCAGCCGCGGUAAUACGGAGGAUGCGAGCGUUCUCCGGAUUCAUUGGGUUUAAAGGGUGCGUAGGCGGACUAUUAAGUCAGUGGUGAAAUCCUGCAGCUUAACUGCAGAUCUGCCAUUGAUACUGAUAGCCUUGAGUUUGGUGAAGGUAGGCGGAAUGUGGAAUGUAGCGGUGAAAUGCUUAGAUAUUACACAGAACACCAAUGGCGUAGGCAGCUUACUGAGCCGACACUGACGCUGAGGCACGAAAGCGUGGGGA
rnacentral:rRNA from 1 species